AACCGCAUGGUUCAAAAGUGAAAGACGGUCUUGCUGUCACUUAUAGAUGGAUCCGCGCUGCAUUAGCUAGUUGGUAAGGUAACGGCUUACCAAGGCAACGAUGCAUAGCCGACCUGAGAGGGUGAUCGGCCACACUGGAACUGAGACACGGUCCAGACUCCUACGGGAGGCAGCAGUAGGGAAUCUUCCGCAAUGGGCGAAAGCCUGACGGAGCAACGCCGCGUGAGUGAUGAAGGUCUUCGGAUCGUAAAACUCUGUUAUUAGGGAAGAACAUAUGUGUAAGUAACUGUGCACAUCUUGACGGUACCUAAUCAGAAAGCCACGGCUAACUACGUGCCAGCAGCCGCGGUAAUACGUAGGUGGCAAGCGUUAUCCGGAAUUAUUGGGCGUAAAGCGCGCGUAGGCGGUUUUUU
rnacentral:rRNA from 1 species